UCGAUUGAGUUUGAUCCUGGCUCAGAUUGAACGCUGGCGGCAUGCUUUACACAUGCAAGUCGAACGGCAGCGGGGGCUUCGGCCUGCCGGCGAGUGGCGAACGGGUGAGUAAUACAUCGGAACGUGUCCUUAAGUGGGGAAUAACGCAUCGAAAGAUGUGCUAAUACCGCAUAUCUCUCAGGAGGAAAGCAGGGGAUCGAAAGACCUUGCGCUAAAGGAGCGGCUGAUGUCUGAUUAGCUAGUUGGUGGGGUAAAGGCUUACCAAGGCAACGAUCAGUAGCUGGUCUGAGAGGACGACCAGCCACACUGGGACUGAGACACGGCCCAGACUCCUACGGGAGGCAGCAGUGGGGAAUUUUGGACAAUGGGCGAAAGCCUGAUCCAGCCAUGCCGCGUGAGUGAAGAAGGCCUUCGGGUUGUAAAGCUCUUUUAGUCGGAAAGAAAGAGUCAUAGUAAAUAGCUAUGAUUUAUGACGGUACCGACAGAAAAAGCACCGGCUAACUACGUGCCAGCAGCCGCGGUAAUACGUAGGGUGCGAGCGUUAAUCGGAAUUACUGGGCGUAAAGGGUGCGCAGGCGGCCUUGUAAGUCAGAUGUGAAAGCCCCGGGCUUAACCUGGGAAUUGCGUUUGAAACUACAAAGCUAGAGUGCAGCAGAGGGGAGUGGAAUUCCAUGUGUAGCAGUGAAAUGCGUAGAGAUGUGGAAGAACACCGAUGGCGAAGGCAGCUCCCUGGGUUGACACUGACGCUCA
rnacentral:rRNA from 1 species